rnacentral:rRNA from 1 species
UACGUAGGGUGCAAGCGUUAAUCGGAAUUACUGGGCGUAAAGCGUGCGCAGGCGGCUUUGCAAGACAGAUGUGAAAUCCCCGGGCUCAACCUGGGAACUGCAUUUGUGACUGCAAGGCUAGAGUGCGGCAGAGGGGGAUGGAAUUCCGCGUGUAGCAGUGAAAUGCGUAGAUAUGCGGAGGAACACCGAUGGCGAAGGCAACCCCCUGGGCCUGUACUGACGCUCAUGCACGAAAGCGUGGGGAGCAAACAGG